GACGAACGCUGGCGGCGUGCUUAACACAUGCAAGUCGAACGGAAAGGCCCUGCUUUUGUGGGGUGCUCGAGUGGCGAACGGGUGAGUAACACGUGAGUAACCUGCCCUUGACUUUGGGAUAACUUCAGGAAACUGGGGCUAAUACCGGAUAGGAGCUCCUGCUGCAUGGUGGGGGUUGGAAAGUUUCGGCGGUUGGGGAUGGACUGGCGGCUUAUCAGCUUGUUGGUGGGGUAGUGGCUUACCAAGGCUUUGACGGGUAGCCGGCCUGUGAGGGUGACCGGCCACAUUGGGACUGAGAUACGGCCCAGACUCCUACGGGAGGCAGCAGUGGGGAAUAUUGCACAAUGGGCGGAAGCCUGAUGCAGCAACGCCGCGUGCGGGAUGACGGCCUUCGGGUUGUAAACCGCUUUCGCCUGUGACGAAGCGUGAGUGACGGUAAUGGGUAAAGAAGCACCGGCUAACUACGUG
rnacentral:rRNA from 1 species